rnacentral:lncRNA from 1 species
CAGAUCCCGGUUACCCUGCCUGAACCUGAACUGCGCCAGAGCCCAACAUAUACACAAAGAACCCAAGCUGUCAAAAAGAGGAGGUGCCAAACAGGAGUUACGUUUCUGGCUAACUGUUUAUGCUGACUGAGAUGUGACAACCUGGGAUGUGACUUUUGUGCUUAAAAGCUCACCGUGAGAAAGGCUCAGGACUGCAUUUGGGCCCUGAACAUCCGGGGUAGUUGCUGACGGGCUAAUAAAGACUUCCUAUUGGCUUG